GGAUGUGAGGUCGAUCUGGCUGCCACAUCUGUCACCCCAUUGAUGCCAGGGUUGAUUCGGCUGAUCUGGCUGGCUAGGCAGGUGUCCCCUUCCUCCCUCACCUUUCUAUGUGCAUCUCUCCUGAAGCUGCAUGCUCUGAAGAGUACGAUUCCCUGAUAGGGGAGGACCGUUCUUCUGCCAAGGGUAUAUGAGUAGUAGCUGCGCUCCCCUGMUAGAACCUCCAAACAAGCUCUCAAGGUAGUGGUUUGUGGUACACCAAUGUGUGUUUGGUCCAUUCUCAGUGAAUAUACACUUAAAAUUUUUUAUUU
rnacentral:snRNA from 1 species